rnacentral:lncRNA from 1 species
AUAAACACCUCAAGGAAUAAAACAGAGAUUAAUGUUUUUCGUCCUUAGAAUCAGAAGAUUGUGGAAAAGUUGCAUGCCUUAAUCUGCUAGCUAUGCUCUUUUGAGACAGCCUCAGCACUCUUAGCUCUCCUUGUUGCAAGGGCACACCAGCAAGCUCAUGUCUAACUUACUGUCCAACAAAGAUCUCUGAAGAUCCUUGUGCUAAAUCUGCUUGGUAAGCACAAGUGUAUUAUUCUAAACCAUUAGUGCUAAACAUUCUUACUCAUACUUCCAUUCGGGCAACUAAAGUGGCAAUCAUCCAUGUCACUAAAGAAAGGAGAAAUUGAGGACAGUAGGAAAAAUGAAAAGGUGAUACACUGAAUAAUCUGGCAAAUUCAGUCAGUGAUUCUACAACAUGGAGUUUAGACAGACCAAUGACAAUUUAGCCAUCUGCUAUGCAGUUCUUAUCCUGGUCAAAUUGUAGAGAUUUCCUUCUAUUCUGGAAAGCAGAAUGGAUAUGUGGGAGGAUGUAUUUCAUUUCAGCCCAAUUGCAAGAGAACUACCGCAAGAUGUGAAAGCACCCAAGGAAAUACAGUCUCCUGCUAGCCUGGCAUGUCAUGUUGCAGAACAGCUAAAUUGGUCAGAGGAAUUGUGUCCUAUUUCUGUCUAGAAAGGAAGACUAGAGAAAUCGAUCAAGGCAGCAUUUUUUCCUGACAUGUUUUUCUUGGGAUAAUUUGAACACAACCAGGUGAGGUAGAGCUGCUGGUUCCAGUCCAGCUGGGAGGAUCUUAAAAGCUGCCCUGAGAUUAUCUGGUGCCCUUUAUAAAGGUCUGAAAAGUUUUCCCCUUCCUUGCUCUUCUCCAGCACACCUGAAGAUGCAGCAGCAGGUUUGUGUUCAACUCACUCCCUGCUGUUGGCAGGACUGUCCCUGUCCUUUCUUCUACAGUGUCCCUGAGCUGUGGAAAGGGAGACAAAAAAAUAUCUAAACAUUUAUAUACAAAUUUGCAUAAGCAUAAAUGACUGCAUGCUACAUUUGGGCCGACAUCCAUGUAGUAGUAAACUUCCAUAAGGGAAAACCAAGCAGGUUUGUACUAUCAUUGGGUCACUGCUGAGGAUGAAAAUGCAAGGCCAACUCUUCUUCCCAGUCCAGACUCCAGAGGUCCUCUGCUUAAAAGAUAACAAGAUACCUAUUACAACAUAAUCUUAAUUCCCUUCAUGCUAGUCAUAUUCAUAAAUACAUAUAAUUUAUCUAACUUUUCUUGGAUCUUAUGUAGAUUUCAUGUGUGAUUUUUUGACUGGACUGCAAAAUCUUUAUAGUCCUGAGAUUAGAUUAGAUUUUGCCUGUUUUCCUUACAGCACUCCAGAUGUGCCUCACCAGGGCUGAGCAGAGGGUCAGGAUCACCUCCCCCAACCUGCUGGCUAUGCUCCUCCUAUUCCUCCGGAUCCCAUUGCCCUUCUUGGCCCCAGGACACACUGCUGGCUCAUGGACAGCUUGUUGUCCACCAGGAACCCCAGGUCCUUCUCCACAGAGCUGCUUCCCAGCAGGUCACCCCCAGCCUGUGCUGGUGCCUGGGGUUGUUCCUCUGCAGGUGCAGGAUCCUGCACUUGUCUCUGUUGAAUUUCAGGUGUUUCUUCUCUGCCCAUCCCUCCAGCCUGUCCAGGUCUCACUGGAUGGCAGCCCAGCCCUCUGGGGCAUUGGUCACUCCUCCUGGCUCUGUGUGUCAGGGAACUCACUGAGGGUACACUCUGUCCCUGCCUCCAGGUCACUGAUGAAUAAGUGAACAAACCUGAACCCAGAACUGACCCUGAGGAACCCCCCAGUACUCCCUGUGUCACUGCUCACAGCUCUCUGAGCUCAGUCAGUUCCCAAUUCACCUCACUGUCCUCUCAGCUAACCCACACUUCCUGAGUUACCUGUGAGCAUGUAGGGGAAACAGCGUCAAAAACCUCGCUGCAGUCAAGAUGUCUCCACUGCUCGCUUCCCCCUGUCCACGCAAACCAUAUGUCAUUUUUAACAAAGCCUUCAUUCAGAGACUUUUUUCCUGAUUUGAAACCAAAUUAGAAAAAACUCAUGAGAAACGUAUGGAACUGUUUGAUAGCUGUUUUGUAUUGCACAUUUCUAUUCCUGUCCAGCUCUGUUCUGCUCCAGAGGAUUUCUCAUGCCUUGAUCUGUACAGAUAGUCAUGUCACAAGCUAUGUCCUGUCUUUGCCAUCCACUGUUGUGAAAUACUUCUCUUUCCUGGAGAAAAUGGCAUUCAGAUGGUGCCACAGCACCUAUCUUAGUGAAAUUAAUGUAUCAACAUGCUGUUGUUGUUGUUGUUAUGACUGAUGAUUAAUAAUUCCUACAAUAAUAAUUAAUGACAAUAACUAAUUGCUGCUAACAGCUGCUUACCACGUUGGUUCACUUUGGAUUUGCAUGGAAGGGAGAUUUUAACCCGCUCCUUGUCCUCAAUUACAAAUUUACACUCCAGUCUGUAGUGUGGUAAGCUGCCACUUGCAAGGUGGAAACUUCUUGGCUGGCAAGUGACAAAAUGCACAAGAAGGAUGUGCUACACUUUUGAGAGGAAUAUACAGCCUGCUCACGUGAGAGUAACUAAACCCCAUGAGUUCAAAAUGAAUUAGUGCACAGAAAGUUGUUGAUUUCUGCCCCUACAGCUGACUAAGGGCUUCCACAAUCCCAAAUUGCAUCCCAGAGUAAAAAAACCUGCACAUGGUACCUAUGUCUGCAGCAUUUACACAAUCUGAGAUGUGACAGCAGACAUUUGCAAACCCCACUGCUUUUGCUGUUCCUCAUAAGAGGAAAAGAAAAAAUUCAUGAUCAUUCCAAACAGCUUAAUAUUUUUAGACAAUCAAGUUUUUCUUUCAAGGUUCACUUGGAAUUCUACUCCUGUACAUUGCAGCAGCUUUUUUCUGACGCUUCUGUUAAAAUCCAAAGACAGCUCCUAUCCAAGAAUAAUUUCAGUUUCUGAGUUACAGACAUUUUCUCUACACAGUAGAGCAAUGAAUCAAAGUAUUUAAAUUCAGACUGCUGUAAUAUUUCACAGUCCUGCCAGAGACAGAAACACAGUACCCAAACUGUAAACAGCUCUGUUUCCUUGCAGGCCUGUUAAACAUCAUACAAGCACUUACAUCUCUAUUUAACAUUGGAUCCCAUAGAACGAACCACAGAUGUAAACCUACGUUGUGCAUAAGCAUUUUCAGAGCUGAAAUUUGGUUAUUUAACUUCAAAAGUGCAUGUAUUUUAGGUGAGCUCUUGACCAUCAUGGAGCAGAAUUUUUUUGUAUGUAUUUUUCCUUCAAAGGAAAAUAAAGCUCCACUUUUUUUUUUCCUUUUUAUCUCCCCUUUUUUAAGUAACAAAACAAAGAAGGUAUGGCAACACCAGGCUAUUUAGAAAUCUAGGCCAGGAAAAUCUACUGGAUAGCUUAGCUGCUUUCUGAAUUGCAUUUCAUCAGAUUACUAGUAUUAGUAUUAGUAUUAGUAUUAGUAUUAGUAUUAGUAUAUUAGCUACUCUAGGCAAGUAGCCAAAUGGGGAUCUUAGCAAGUUAAGUUUCAAAUAUUCUCAAGAGCACAGAUAACUCAUGGAAUAUUUUUAUCCUGGAAUUAUCAAUUUUACUUCACUGUAACACAAUUUACCAAAAAAAAAAAAAAAAAAAAAAAAAAA